GUCGCAAUCAUAAUUCAGUUAAAAAUACCCGGAUCUUUUGCUCCAUUGAUUUCUGCAGUGAAGAAUGGUGGUGAUGGUGGUGGCAACCUGUUGGAGGAAGAAGAAUACGGUGACAGUCUGUUAGAUGAUGAAUAGUCAUGAAAACUAGAUGAAGCUUCUGAUAUGGGUCUUCAAUCAAAUAAAAAGUUUAACUAAUGUUUAAUAUUGUUAAUGUUUUCUUCUUCUUCUAAUUUACUUUAAAUGGUAAUUCAUUUACUUGAUUUUUAAGCUUUUCUAAACUAAGAUAAAAGGGUUUGAUUAUAGCACAUUUUUUUUAAAUUAGUUUUAGCUAGAUAUAGGGCUUAAUUCAGUUUUAAAUUGUUUAAAACUGAAUUAAGCUGAAUGACUGAAUCGGUUAGUGCGUUUGUUUUGGUCUGAAUGGCUGAAUCGGUAAGAUAGAAGAACUGAAUGACUAAGUCAGAUUUUUUAGCUGAAUGGCUAAGUGAAGUAAAAAAUAAAAUAAAAAAUUAUUAACUAUUAUAUUAAGUAAUAUUAAAUAAAUUACAACAAUUUUGAAUUUUUUUAAAGUGGUAAAAUAAUAAAGUUUUGUUAUUCAGAUGUUUCAAACAUGUCAAAAAGUAUCAAACAGUUUUUUUCAUUCAGAUUCAGAUUCAGAUUCAUUCAGUUUUUAGCAUACAAAUAUUUUUGAUUUUUUUAAUAUUCUAAUUUCUAAUUUGAAUGUUAUAAUAUUUUUAUUUUGUAUUUUGCUAAAAAAUUUGUUUAUAUAAUUGAUUUUAAAUUAAUUAGUUUGAGCUGAAUAAUUAAUUGUUUAUUUGGGUUAUUUUUUAAGCUAAUUAUUUAUUUGUGAUUAAUCAUUUAGUUUUAAUGAUGUUAUAAGAUUAAUUAUUAGUGGGAUUAAUUAUUUGGAAUUAUUACUGGAUGAAUGUAUUAAAAUGUAUUGAUUUUAUAAUUUCUACAUAUUUGUACUAAUUAAAUAAGUCAGCUAUGCUACUUAUAUGGUCAAGCAUAUUUAGCAUGAAGUUUAUUUUUGAGUAAUUAAUCAAUUGACCAAUAAAAUAUUGACAUGCAGACGAUACUCUAUAUGUGUCAAUAUUUUAUUGACUAAUUAACUAAUUUAUCAAAAAAUAAACUUCAUUCUAACCGGAUCCAUACUUGGCUGUGGAUAUUGGUUACUAGGGUCGUUGAGUGUAUUACAAGGACCUGUCAAUAUCAUUGAAUUCCAUUCAAGUUGGAUAAGGGCAAAGGUGCAAAAAUGCCCCUGAUGUUUACACGGAUGUCCCACUUCCACCCUAAACUAAUUUUUUUUUUCCAAAAGUACCCUUAACGUUACAAAUUUAGGGUCAAUUGUGCCCCUCCCGUUAAAAAAAAUUCACCUAGACAAACGGACGUGCUAAACGAUUGACACGUGGCAAAAAUAAAUUUUUUAUUAUUUUUUUCUCUUUCUUCUCUCUCUUUUCUCUUUCCACUACACCUUUUUCAUCAUUUUUCUAUUCUUCUUACUUCGUGGACUGCGUUUUCUCUCUCAUCCCAAGAACAAACACAAACAUUUACUGAUAAAUUCUCCAAUUUCAUUUUCAGUAAUUCAAGCAACAACAAAAAUGUGUGAAGUUGUAUCAAUAUUGUUGUAUCAACCAAGGGACAAGAGUAAUGAAGGCUUCAACAUCCAACGAUUUAAAAUCAUUUGGAGCUUCAACAUUGGAUGACCCAAGAAUUUAUAUCUCUUUCUCUGCCGAAAACUUCACCCCACUGUUACGAACAGGGUGUCAAAGAAAUAGAUCAUAUAUUAUCAUAAAAUAAAACCCCGCAUCAAAUUCUUCGACCGGUAACAAAAGAUUAGGACUGAUUGAGAAAGAAACAGAGUAAUUUAAGACUCACCAAGAACAAAUACAAGUUUUGAAUUUCAUCAUCACAACAUAUAUCACUCUAAAGCACUAAAAAUCAGUUCUUUGAUUUCCCGAAAAAAUUUAUUUUUCAAUAUCAUAAUGUAUGUAGUAUAUACAUAUAUCUACAUACAAAAACAGAUUAUGACGAAAAGAGUAUCCCAGUAUCAAAUUCUCCAUCAAAUCACAAACAAUUACGAGUAGAGCACAAGUGAGACAUUUUGUGUUUGAUAGAGACUAAUAUGAAAAACCCAUUAUCUAUAUCUUACUCUUGUGCAUUUAUUUCUUUAACAGGAACACAAAAAGAGUAUUCCCUGUUCCAAAUCCUUCUUCAAAUUAAAAAAAUCAUUUGUCUCUACUUACCUGGAGAAGAAAGAGAGUAAAUCUCGGUUGGGUAGUACAAAAUCUCACAAAAAUACAUCGAUUACAAGGAAUCUUUAACUCCAUGAAAUGAAAUGUAAGAGGCUAACGAUAACAACAACAACAACAACAUCGGUUCCAUCAAAUCGCCGGCGACUCUCCGAUUAGCUCCAAAACCCAGAAAAAUCGCAGGCCUUCGCGCAUUAUAUACUGAAAACAAAACAAUUACAGAUAGAGAGAAAAAAGAAAAGGAAAGGAAAGGGUUUAUCUCUCUAUCAAUGAGUUUAAAAGGGUACAAAGAACUCAGCUUUUGAUUUCUCAGUGAAUGAACUGUAGGUGGGUUUUUGGAGUUCUUGAUGAAAUGAGUUUUUUGUUGUUGCUUGAAUUACUGAAAAUGAAAUUGGAGAAUUUAUCAGUAAAUGUUUGUGUUUGUUCUUGGGAUGAGAGAGAAAACACAGUCCACGAAGUAAGAAGAAUAGAAAAGGUGUAGUGGGUAGAGAAAAGAGAGAAGAAAGAGAAAAAAAUAAUAAAAAAUUUAUUUUUGCCACGUGUCAAUCGCUUAGCACGUCCGUUUGUCUAGCUGGAUUUUUUUAAACGGGAGGGGCACAAUUGACCUUAAAUUUGUAACGUUAAUGGUACUUUUGAAAAAAAAAUUAAUUUAGAGUGGAAGUGGGACAUCCGUGUAAAUAUUAGGAAUAUUUUUGCACCUUUGCCCAAUUGGAUAAUAGAGUAUCGUGUACACAAUAAUAAUAAUAGAAGAAAUUAAACCAACCCAUUCUACAAGGUUGAAGGUUGUCACCUUUUCUAAGAAGACUCACCCGAUCACAAUUUGGAUAGGACAGAUCAACAAUUUCAUUUUUUUUUCAAGAAGACUUUCUGCAUUAUGCAACUGUCAAAGUGUUUAUUUCUAAGAUAAGGGUAAAAAAAAAAAUAGGAAACUGAUAUUUCUAUAUAAAAAUCGUUGUUGUAGAUCAUAUAACGACGAUUUUUAUUAUCGCUAUACAUUUAUAGCGACACUUUUUAUGUGAAAAUAUAAAAAAAAAUCAUUUAAAAAUUUCGAUUUACAAAAUAGGUGGAUCUUAUCCAAGGCUUUCUUUGCCACAAUUUGUGCUAAAGGAUUGAUUGCAUGAAAAUGACCUCUAAUACUCAAUUUUCUAACGCAGCAAUGAACAUAUCUUUUAAAUUCAAUAAACAUGCAUUUUCUCUGUCGACCUUUUUUCUAUCAACGUAUUUUGGGGAAACAAAUUAAGCCGCAAAUUUUGAUUAAUUGCCUUAGGACUUAUCAACAUGUCAUUGGAUUCCAUUCAAAUUGGAUAGAUCCACCGUUUCAAUAACUUUUUUGAUGUCUUCUUGAAAAACUAGGAAAACAUACAACACUUGAUGAUCUAUAUUUAAAUAAUUAUAUACUUAUAAAAUAAAUUAAAAUAUUUAUAUAUAUAUAUAUAUAUAUAUAUAUAUAUAUAAAAGAACGCCCGUGCCUUGCACGGAUUAUCAAACUUGUUAUAUAUAACAAGGUAUUAAGAGAUUUUAUCCAAUAAUUUUAUAACCAAUAAUUUAAGUGUUUUCUCAAUACAACGACCAUCAUCUUGCUUUGAAACACAUGCAAAUUGAUCAAUUUUUGAAUUAAAAUUUAAUUAUAUUUAUUUAUAUUUUUAAACUCAAAAUUUAGGGUUAUAGUUUCUCUACCUAUAUUUAUAAGAAAAUAGUAUAAAUUUAAUUACAAAAAUGGUCAAUUUGAUCGAAAAACUCAAACUAAACCAGUUUUUGAGGGAAAAAAGAGUAUAAAAUAAGCAUUCAUGUAUGUGUUUUUUUUUGACUUCUCCCUUUACUUUUUGUUGUGGCCAACUUUUCUUAUCCUGGUCAUUAUGGGGAAAGAGAACCAGAGAUUAUGAGUGUCCGUGUCACCCUGUGGCCUGUACUAUCCACCUAUGGGAAGAAUUUUCAUUUUUUUUUUCACUUAGCAACGAAAGACCAAUUACAAAGAGCUACAAUAUUAAAGGUGAAGAUUUGCGUACCUCUUAUUGAAGAAUGGCUUUCCACAUUCAACUGCAAGACAUACCAGUACUUUCUGGCCUUCUUUUCGCUAUUGCUUGUUUGUGGUUGAUCAUUACCAAUGCCAAAAGCAACAAGAGAAACUCCAGACCACCAGAGCCUGCUGGGGCGUGGCCUUUUAUUGGUCACCUUCAUCUUCUCGGAGCUAACAAGC
rnacentral:lncRNA from 1 species